rnacentral:rRNA from 1 species
CGCCAGACUCCUACGGGAGGCAGCAGUGGGGGAUAUUGCACAAUGGAGGAAACUCUGAUGCAGCGACGCCGCGUGAGGGAAGACGGUCUUCGGAUUGUAAACCUCUGUCUUUGGGGAAGAAAAUGACAGUACCCAAAGAGGAAGCUCCGGCUAACUACGUGCCAGCAGCCGCGGUAAUACGUAGGUGGCAAGCGUUGUCCGGAUUUACUGGGUGUAAAGGGCGUGCAGCCGGAGAGACAAGUCAGAUGUGAAAUCCACGGGCUCAACCCGUGAACUGCAUUUGAAACUGUUUCCCUUGAGUGUCGGAGAGGUAAUCGGAAUUCCUUGUGUAGCGGUGAAAUGCGUAGAUAUCAGGAGGAACACCGGUGGCGAAGGCGGCCUGCUGGACUGCAACUGACGUUGAGGCCCGAAAGCGUGGGGAGCAAACAGGAUUAGAUACCCUCGUAAC